ensembl:lncRNA
AAAAAAAAAGUAAUAAAAAAUAAGAAACUUUUUUUUUUUUUUAAAAGAAAAUUUUUAAUUUUGAAUAUACCUUUAUGUUGUAACAUUCUUUUCUUUUUGCUUCUCUCCCUCUACAUACACCUCUAUCAAAAAAAAAAAAAAAAAAAAAAAAAAAAGUGUUUCAAAACUGUAGAUAUUUAGUAAUUUUUUUUUUUUUUUUUUUUUUAGCAUAUAUUUAUGGUCACUAAAAGGACAUAUAAAUAUAUGUAUAUAAGUUAUAAAUGCAAUCGUAUAGACAUAUAUACAUACAUUUAUAACAAAAAUAACUAAGCGUACGUACAAUCAACGUAGACAAAAUAAGAGUACACGAUAUGUACAUAUAUAUGUAAAAAUAUAUAUAACUUACUAAACCAUUAUUUUUAACACACUCCUUGUCACAGUUCAUACCAUAUAUCUUAAACAUGGCAAUAUUAAGUGACGAUAAAAAUGAGCUCAACGGCACUAAUACAAAUAUAAACAGUGAAGAUGAACAUAUAUUAACAUACUGUUUUGAGGAAAAUGUAAUUUUAUUAAAUACAUAUAUUUAUGCUUACUUAUUUAAAUAUUUUGGUAAAUUAGAUAUGUAUAUAAAUUCACACAAAAUUAAUGAUUCAUUACAUGUAGAAUUUGAAAAUAUAAUUAAAGCCUUUUAUAAUCAUUUGGGUAAUGUGAUUAUACAGUCGAGCACAUAUGAAAGUUGUUAUACUAAAGUGGACGAAAAAGAUAAUAAAAUUAAAAAAGAUAAUAUAAAAUUAAAGAAUGAAAAUGAAGAAACAUGUAGGUUUGAACAUGAGCAUGAACAUAUGGACAUAGAUAUAAACAGUGUAAGUAUUAAAACAAAAGAACAUGAUAAAAAUGAUGUAUACACAACAAGCGGCACUAAUAAUCGACACGUUUGUACUUUAAACAAUAAGUAUAAUGAAGGAACAUACGAGAUGAUUAAAAAUAUAAAAAAUAUAUAUAUUGAAGAUGCAUUACUUUUGUUAAACAAGAAUGAUCAAAACAUUACUUAUGGUUAUAAUUUAGUAAAAAUAAUAAUAUAUAUAUGUUUAAAAACUUGUAGAAUAUGUAUAUAUUCCUAUGAUUGUUUUUUAAUGAAUAAAAAUGACAAUAUUGACAUGCGUACUAUUAAUGCGAGUAAUGUCAGAAUGAGUAACAACAGUAGUAAUGUUAAUACAAAUAAUAAAGUAAAAUGUGAUAAACAAAAAAAAACCACGUUAAGAAUUACAUUUAAAGAAAAUGAAUUAAUAAAACAAGAAGAAAAAAAACACAUGUUAAAUACUAUUAUUAAAAAUAUAAAAUUACAUUCAUUUAAUAAUAAAGCAAACGCAACAUAUAAAGAUGCUAUACAACAUAUAUAUAAUAAAUUAUUUAACUUACCUGGAUCAACAGUAGAUUUGUUUUUGUAUAAUGUUAUUAAUAAUAUAGACAAUUUUUUUUUUGAUAUAUAUGAACCUAGUUUUUAUAAUUGUGCUAUAGAAAAAAAAAAUUACAUUUCUUAUAAAAUUCUAUAUGAACAAUAUAAAAAGAUAAUGAUAAAAUCAAAAAUUAUUAAAUUGAAUAAAGAAAUAAUUAAGUAUUUAAUAUAUGAUUCUAUAUUUCUCCCUAGUUAUGUUCAAAAAAAUAAAUUCAAGUUAGAAGAAGAACAUAUGUACUCUUCUUUUUCUUCGUAUUCUGAAUGUUCGUCUGAUGAUGGUAUUGGUAGUAGUAGUAGUAGUAGUAGUAGUAGUAGCAGUAGUAGCAGCAGCAGCAACCAGAACCGUGUAGAAAAUAAAUUAACUCAGGAGCCUGCCCAAAACUGUGACAUAAACUGUAAAGAUAUAUAUAUGAAUAGUAGCGAAAAAACUGACCAAAUAAUUGGGGUUAAUAUUACGCACCAUAAAAAUUGUAACAUAGAUGUGUCACAACCGAAUCAGUUCAUACCUAAUAAAAACCAAACGAUGAAAACAGAUAGUUGUAACAAAAUUAGUAAUGAACCGAGUGGUAAAAUAAAAAAAAAUAAAAAAAAUAAAAUAAAAGAACUGUUUAAUAGUAAAAAUUUCCGCAACAUAUUAGAAAAUAUAAAAGAAAAAAUAGAAGAAUUAGAUAAAAGUGUAUUUUUAAGAGUUAAUGGUAAAAAUUUAAAAAAAGGUUCAUU